rnacentral:rRNA from 1 species
GAUGAACGCUGGCGGCGUGCUUAACACAUGCAAGUCGAACGGAAAGGCCCAAGCUUGCUUGGGUACUCGAGUGGCGAACGGGUGAGUAACACGUGGGUGAUCUGCCCUGCACUUCGGGAUAAGCCUGGGAAACUGGGUCUAAUACCGGAUAGGACGAUGGUUUGGAUGCCAUUGUGGAAAGUUUUUUCGGUGUGGGAUGAGCUCGCGGCCUAUCAGCUUGUUGGUGGGGGAAUGGCCUACCAAGGCGUCGACGGGUAGCCGGCCUGGGAGGGUGUACGGCCACAUUGGGACUGAGAUACGGCCCAGACUCCUACGGGGGGCAGCAGUGGGGAAUAUUGCACAAUGGGCGCAAGCCUGAUGCAGCGACGCCGCGUGGGGGAUGACGGCCUUCGGGUUGUAAACUCCUUUCGCUAGGGACGAAGCGUUUUGUGACGGUACCUGGAGAAGAAGCACCGGCUAACUACGUG